AUUGAACGCUUGCGGCAGGCCUAACACAUGCAAGUCGAACGAGUUGCGGACGGGUGAUUAAUGUCUGGGAAACUGCCUGAUGGAGGGGGAUAACUACUGGAAACGGUAGCUAAUACCGCAUACCAUCAGAUGUGCCCAUAUGUGAUUAGCUUGUUGGUGGGGUAAUGGCUCACCUAGGCGACGAUCCCUAGCUGGUCUGAGAGGAUGACCAGCCACACUGGAACUGAGAAACGGUCCAGACUCCGACGGGAGGCAGCAGUGGGGAAUAUUGAACAAUGGGCGAAAGCCUGAUGCAGCCAUGCCGCGUGUAUGAAGAAGGCCUUCGGGUUGUAAAGUACUUUAAGCGGGGAGGCGUUAACCGCAGAAGAAGCACCGGCUAACUCCGUGCCAGCAGCCGCGGUAAUUC
rnacentral:rRNA from 1 species